UCAUGGACAGAUGGAUAAAUUAUACUACAUAUCUACGUGAAUAUACAUAAGUAAACAAUGUAUGUACUGUGGUAUAUCUACAUGUACGCAUCAGUUUAUGCGCAAUUCCAGUAUACAAUGUUACUUUGUACAAGGAACAUACAAGGAAAGUAUAAACUGUGAUCUUGUGUCGUGUGUAUAAGUCAAAAACAUAUCUACUUGUUUCACUAAAAUCCAUGGCAGUAGAAACUCAAACAAUUGAGAUUAAAUUUCAAAGUUUGAGAAAUUCGACUGCUAAACGGAGUAUUAUCUCAUGUUCACGUUAUAUCAGCUGGUUAAUCUUCAUACUCAAAUAAAGAUACCGUGAAAUAUAUCGCAUUUCUGAAACUGCAAGGGCGUUUUGCAGUAGGAAGAAGGAAGACAGGGCAAAGGCCAAGUGCCAAAACGACAUGAGAGAAAUACCUUCCUUUGAAAUCUAACUCAACAUUGUUCAGUUUACGAAGAUCGAAUAUUAAAACUUAAUUUUCUCCUUUAUUGUGGACCAGGCUUUUGAGCCAUGACCUCAUCAAGGGUUACAGGUUUGCAUUUAGGAAACACGUAGAAUUCCAGUCUUUGCACGUAUAACCCAUCUCAGAUUCGACCGAAACUUAUUGCAUCAAUGGUUGCUGCCAAUCUUGAGUAUACUCAUGAUAUUCUGUUAUCUGAAAUAGGAAAUAAGGGUGAGUAGAGAGUAUAAAGACGAGGAUAAAAAAUGAAAUAAACGAUGAUAAAAAGGAGAGAAAAAGAGGAAUGAAAAGUGGUAAAAAAGGGUGGCAUGUCACAAUCAUCCAGAGCUAUUGACCAAGUCCAAACUAUCAGCCUCUACAAAGCAGUACAUGCAACUUGGUACGUGCCAUUAUUGCUUUCAACUUUUUUCCCUUGACGAAUAAAACUCGGCACUUGAGAGUUAUAUAAAACGCCUCAACAGUUCACCACACGGGGCAGGAAAUUACGAUGAGACUUCAUGGACAGCUCUGCUGUCAUCGAGUAUCCCUUGACAAAAUAAUACCGCUUUUUUUCACGGCUACGUACAUUUUAAUAUCUUCAGCAAGGGACAAUUGAAACAAAAUGCUCCGAGGGAAGAAAAUCGUAGGAACGGUUCUGACGCAUACAUGGGAAUAAAUUUUUUAUUAUUAUUAAAAGCUAUCCCUAUGGUACGGAAAUAAAUAUUCUUACGUAUUAUUCUGCGGGAAUCAUCCUUAAAAUAUUAUUAUAACAAUCAUUUUCAAAUUAUUACUGUUAAAAUGUUGCAAUCGGAAAAAUCGGUAUUAUCCUAUAAAACCUGCACGGAAAAAAGAAAAAGGGAAAAAUUAAAUUAUAUAAUGUAAAGUGGCGCUCCGAAUAGAAAACUGGAAAAAUG